CCUACGAGAGGCAGCAGUUGGGAAUUUUGGACAAUGGGGGCAACCCUGAUCCAGCCAUUCCGCGGAGUGAAGAAGGCCUUCGGGUUUAAAGCUCUUUCGGCAGGACGAAACGGUCCGUUUUAAUACUGCGGGUUAAUGACGGUACCUGAAGAAGAAGCACCGGCUAACUACGUGCCAGCAGCCGCGGUAAUACGUAGGGUGCGAGCGUUAAUCGGAAUUACUGGGCGUAAAGCGUGCGCAGGCGGUUGUGUAAGACAGGUGUGAAAUCCCCGGGCUUAACCUGGGAACUGCGCUUGUGACUGCACGGCUAGAGUAUGGCAGAGGGGGGUGGAAUUCCACGUGUAGCAGUGAAAUGCGUAGAGAUGUGGAGGAACACCGAUGGCGAAGGCAGCCCCCUGGGCCAAUACUGACGCUCAUGCACGAAAGCGUGGGGAGCAAACAGGAUUAGAUACCCUGGUAGUCCACGCCCUAAACGAUGUCGACUAGGUGUUCGGUGAGGAGACUCAUUGAGUACCGCAGCU
rnacentral:rRNA from 1 species